AUUGAACGCUGGCGGCAGGCCUAACACAUGCAAGUCGAACGAGUGGCGGACGGGUGAGUAAUGUCUGGGAAACUGCCUGAUGGAGGGGGAUAACUACUGGAAACGGUAGCUAAUACCGCAUACCAUCAGAUGUGCCCAGAGGGGAUUAGCUGGUGGGGGGGGUACAGGCUCACCAAGGCGACGAUCCCUAGCUGGUCUGAGAGGAUGACCAGCCACACUGGAACUGAGACACGGGCCAGACUCCUACGGGAGGCAGCAGUGGGGAAUAUUGCACAAUGGGCGCAAGCCUGAUGCAGCCAGGCCGCGUGUGUGAAGAAGGCCUUCGGGUUGUAAAGUACUUUCAGCGGGGAGGCGUUACCCGCAGAAGAAGCACCGGCUAACUCCGUGCCAGCAGCCGCGGUAAUAC
rnacentral:rRNA from 1 species